rnacentral:rRNA from 1 species
AUUGAACGCUGGCGGCAGGCCUAACACAUGCAAGUCGAACGGUAACAGGAAGCAGCUUGCUGCUUCGCUGACGAGUGGCGGACGGGUGAGUAAUGUCUGGGAAACUGCCUGAUGGAGGGGGAUAACUACUGGAAACGGUAGCUAGUACCGCAUAACGUCGCAAGACCAAAGAGGGGGACCUUAGGGCCUCUUGCCAUCGGAUGUGCCCAGAUGGGAUUAGCUAGUAGGUGGGGUAACGGCUCACCUAGGCGACGAUCCCUAGCUGGUCUGAGAGGAUGACCAGCCACACUGGAACUGAGACACGGUCCAGACUCCUACGGGAGGCAGCAGUGGGGAAUAUUGCACAAUGGGCGCAAGCCUGAUGCAGCCAUGCCGCGUGUAUGAAGAAGGCCUUCGGGUUGUAAAGUACUUUCAGCGGGGAGGAAGGGAGUAAAGUUAAUACCUUUGCUUAUUGACGUUACCCGCAGAAGAAGCACCGGCUAACUCCGUG